GACGAACGCUGGCGGCGUGCCUAACACAUGCAAGUCGAGCGAGGAGAGUUCCUUCGGGAACAAACCUAGCGGCGGACGGGUGAGUAACACGUGGGCAACCUACCUUGUAGAGGGGAAUAGCCUUCCGAAAGGAAGAUUAAUACCGCAUAACAUUACAGUUUCGCAUGAAACAGUAAUUAAAGGAGCAAUCCGCUACAAGAUGGGCCCGCGGCGCAUUAGCUAGUUGGUGAGGUAACGGCUCACCAAGGCGACGAUGCGUAGCCGACCUGAGAGGGUGAUCGGCCACAUUGGGACUGAGACACGGCCCAGACUCCUACGGGAGGCAGCAGUGGGGAAUAUUGCACAAUGGGGGAAACCCUGAUGCAGCAACGCCGCGUGAGUGAUGAAGGUUUUCGGAUCGUAAAGCUCUGUCUUCGGGGACGAUAAUGACGGUACCCGAGGAGGAAGCCACGGCUAACUACGUG
rnacentral:rRNA from 1 species